rnacentral:rRNA from 1 species
GACGAACGCUGGCGGCGUGCUUAACACAUGCAAGUCGAACGGAAAGGCCCUGCUUUUGUGGGGUGCUCGAGUGGCGAACGGGUGAGUAACACGUGAGUACCCUGCCAUUGACUUUGGGAUAACUUCAGGAAACUGGGGCUAAUACCGGCUAGGAGCUCCUGCUGCAUGGUGGGGGUUGGAAAGUUUCGGCGGUUGGGGAUGGACUCGCGGCUUAUCAGCUUGUUGGUGGGGUAGUGGCUUACCAAGGCUUUGACGGGUAGCCGGCCUGAGAGGGUGACCGGCCACAUUGGGACUGAGAUACGGCCCAGACUCCUACGGGAGGCAGCAGUGGGGAAUAUUGCACAAUGGGCGGAAGCCUGAUGCAGCAACGCCGCGUGCGGGAUGACGGCCUUCGGGUUGUAUACCGCUUUCGCCUGUGACGAAGCGUGAGUGACGGUAAUGGGUAAAGAAGCACCGGCUAACUACGUG